AGGACGGGAAGAGGAAGCAGCCAAAUACACUGCGGUCCAAGUUUAAUUGACUGUGCGCUGGAGUUCAGCGAAGUUGCGACAGCAUACGGAGACACAUUUUUCUUCUACGCACGCCAUACAGACCACCGCUUGUCUCCAGCACAGUGAGGGUAUUCACAUGAAGGAAACCUUGUGUUUUCAGCAUGGCACUUUGAUUGAAUUGACAUUCCUUGCUUGGAACAUUGGCAUACAAAACCCAAAAGAUGAGGAUGACUGGCAGUGAUGACCUUUUCAGUAGAUGCUCAAGAGAGAACAAGAUGUGGAAAGCGAGAUCAGGAGAGAGAUUUAACCCCUUUGACGUGGAUGAUCAAACUGGUGUGAUCAUUCUAGUCUGGUCCCCGAGGCGUCUGAUCAAACCGCAGUGAUUUGAAAGUUCAGUGCGUGAUGUAAUCAAACUGCAAAAUUCUAAUCUCCGUUCAUGCUUCCGCUGACCCAGUGAGAGCGCUUGUCAUUUAUAUGCAUGAAAGUGUUUUUUUAACCACAUAGUAUCUUUUUUUUUUAUGCCACCAACGCUCAGAUGAUCACAGGAGGUGAACGUUUGUUAUAGAUGUGACAAAACAUUUAAUGUAUGUUCUGUGAAGAAACUAUGAAAAAAAGCGAAAGCAUUGUUUAAUGUGACACUAAGAAGACAAAAAAAAAUCAGCAAAAUGAAAAUAAUAUUCACACCCUCUGAAUUGUUUUUAUUUAUUUAUUUAUUUUUAUUUAUUUAUUUUUUUGCUUAUAGAAAAUGAUCAUAUUUAAACAAGUGACCAAUUAACCUAUUCAUUCAUUCAUUCAUUCAUUCAUUCAUUCAUUCAUUUUCUUUUUGGCUUAUUUCCUUUAUUUAUCUGGGGUUGCCACAGCGGAAUGAACUGCCAACUCAUCCAGCACAUUUUUACGCAACAGAUGCCCUUCCAGCUGCAACCCAUCACUGGGAAACACCCAAAC
rnacentral:lncRNA from 1 species